rnacentral:tRNA from 1 species
GAGGGUAUAGCUCAGUGAUAGAUCACAUGCUUGGCCUGCAUGUGGUCCUGGGUUCAAUCCCCAGCACCUCCA